rnacentral:rRNA from 1 species
CCCGGGCCUUGUACACACCGCCCGUCACACCAUGGGAGUUGGUUGUACCAGAAGUCGGUAGUCUAACCGCAAGGGGGACGCCGCCCACGGUAUGGUCAAUGACUGGGGUG